UGGGGGAUGGGGUAAUCGGCAGCCCGCCGGCCUUUGGAGCCGUGCAGUCUCGGUUCGAGUCCGAGUCCCCCCAGCCA
rnacentral:tRNA from 1 species